AAUAAGUGUACUUUUGCACUGUUCAUGUCCAACGUUUAACCGUUUAUCUUAUUUGAAAUUUUUUUAUAAUUAUUACUUUUAUUGUUAUUAGAUGAUAAAACACGAAUAAUACUCUAAGUAUGACUAUUUGUUUUUAAUUUUUCAUAAUUUUUUAAAUAAGACAGACGGUUAAACGUUAGACACGAAUACCCACGACUGCACUUAUU
rfam:Oryza rufipogon genomic scaffold, chr05